GCCGAUGAUAGUACUCCUGAUUUACAUCCACGCUGCAAUGAAGGCAACAUACACAAAGGAAACAGUCACAGGCUCUGAUGACUCCUUGUCAGCCCAUAUUGCAUAUAUUUUGCAAGCUUGAAAGUUCAGACGAGUUAGCCGUUCGCCUGUCCUUGUCCUGAGAAUUGAUUGUUGCUUCCAUGGGAGAUUGCUGGCAUGAAGAAAACACUUACAGUAAUUAAAGUGAGGAAAGCUGAUGUCAGGCUUGCUUCCCCCUUUCAGAGGAACUAAACUUCACCAGAAAACAGUUUUGUUUCAAAGCAGGCUUCAUUCCAGUGGAUGGAGUAUCCAUACAGACACAACUGAAACACGGCUUAUUGUAGCUCUGCAGCAAUGGAGCACAACUGUGGAGCUCUGCGGUGGAGAUCACACUUGAGGAACUGCUUUUGUUGCAUGGACAGCCAGAUCGCCAAUUCGUUUCAAAGGGGUGAAGCGUUUCUCCCGAUGCUGCUGCCGAGGCUGCUUGCGGUGCGCCGAGGAAAGCCUGUCUCACCUACUGCUCGUCCUGCAUACGCUCCCCUGCUCCAGUCAGCCUGCUGCCCUCCCUGCUGAGAAACCCUCUGCAGCAGGGAUCGGGGUAGUCAUCAACCGCCUGUGUCCUGCUUUCCCCUGUCACUGGCACGAGGACAUUGCAAUGGUGUGAUAGGGACGUACUUUUAUAAGGUUAUUUGGGUACUGGAGCAAGGUCUCGCAGCACAACUAUGGUAGAAAAUUUUUCUUCAAGUGUUAUUCAUAGCAGAAUACAGAGAAUGUAGAUAAUAAUAUCAUGUAACAAUUGAUAUCGAUAAUGUAUGAUUAAUCUAUUAUAUAACAUAAUAACACAGGAUUUCUGCGGGUAUGUUUGCUGUAGGGGGAUAACAGAGAACAAAGCAAUGAAAGCAGGAAAGAGAGAAAGAAGUGAAACCAAAGGAGAACGUGUACAUAAACAAGCAAGCUGUUAGCCAGCGUUGUGACUCUGUUGGAAGAAAUCAGGAGUUACAGUUUAGAAAAUCUCAAUUCCUUUUGUUGUACAGCUCGAGUUUUGAUGAACAAUGUUUUUUCAGCUGUCUCCUGUAAGUUGACAUCUACUAAACAGCCUUUGAAAAUGAACUGGCUUGUACCCGGUCCUGCUAAUUUGGAUGGGGCAGUGGGUAAAAUCCUGACAUGGUGGAAAGCGGCAGUGACUUCCCCAGCAGGGGAGUGGUACGUCAAGGACCAAACACAAUUCUAAGGUUGAGCAGCAGUUGGGAAAGACAGAGCCGGGGAGGAGAGGGAAGAGCAAGAUUUGGUUCUUCCCUGAGUGAGUGGUGCCCUGGGGAGCCGGAGCCGCCUGGCCGAGCAUCACUGGGAAGAGCUGCAUUGUUGCUGCAGUGCUGCAGCUCUGCUCCCCUCCUCUGACUCUGCCUCAGCAGAGCCCAGUGCUAUAGACCUAGUGCUAUAGACCUAGCCCUACAGCUCCCCGACUCCGAGGGAACGUACAGCAUCUUCAGGAAAAUGAAGCUGAGCUGAGUUCAGGGCCACGGGGUCAGUGUCAAACUCCUGCCAAGCUUCUCCAGUCCGCCCCAUGGGCUCAUUCCCAUGGAUGUUCCCAUCUCCCAGGAUACAGGGUACUGGGAGGGGAGGGGGGAUGAAAGGGGUGAGGAGGCCCUGGCAUCUUGCACGGUCCUUUGAAAGGUGCUCUCAGAUCUAAGAAGGUCAGUGGAAAGUUAGGGGAGCUACACCCCUGUAUGGAGGCAUCUGCCUCAUCCCCCGAAACACCGCCAUCCCCUCAGGGGCUGGGCACAGCAGGCUCUGGGGCUUUGCUUUUUAGGAAAAAAAAUUACUCGUUCCUGAAGUACAGCUUGGAGGGGGGGUGGGGAGGGGGAGAAAACCCCCAUUUUGAGAAUUAAGGAAAACUUUAUCAGGCUUUUUUAUUUUAAUGGCAAUUUUUCACUUUACCCUAUGCCAUUUAAAAAUGCUGAACUGCAUUUUCGCUCCCACUUAAAGGUGCGAUGAGCCUUGUAAACAUGAACUGGGCACAGGACAUUUCAGCCCGAGAGCCGACUGUUUUGCAGAUUCAUAAUGGUCUAAAGAAAAGUGCCUUUACACUAAGAAAUACCACACAGCCAUAGGAGUCACUGCCUUGUUCGCUACAACACCCAGUGCUUAUUUUAAAUCCCAACUCCGCUAUUCUUUAUUGCUAUUUUCAUUUCUGAUACAGU